AUGACGAACAAGACCCAGUAUUAUGACGUCCUGGGGGUGAAGCCCAGCGCCUCCCCUGAGAUCAGUAAACCCUGUAGGAAGCUGGCACUCAAGUACCACCCGGACAAGAACCUGGAUGAAGGUGAGAAAGUUCAAACUCCUAUCUCAGGCAUAUGAAGUGUUUCCGAUCUAAAGAAAAGGACAUUUAAGACCAGGGUAGACAACAGGCAAUUAAAGAAGGAAGUACAGGUGGCCCCAACUUCUCUUCAACCAUGGAUGUAUUCGACAUGUUCUUUGGUGCUGGAGCACAGAUGCCCAGAGAGCGAAGAGGCAAGAAUGUUGUUCAUCAGUUGUCCGUAACUCUCGAAGACUUGUAUAAUGGAGUUACAAAGAAAUUGGCCCUCCAGAAAAACGUGAUCUGUGAGAAAUGUGAAGGCAUUGGUGGGAAGAAGGGAUCGAUAGAAAAGUGCCCAAUAUGCAAGGGGCGAGGGAUGCAAACACACAUCCAACCAAUCGGGCCAGGCAUGGUGCAGCAGAUCCAGACUGUGUGUGGUGAGUGCAAGGGCCUGGGAGAGCGCAUCAACCCCAUGGACCGCUGUGAAAGCUGCAAUGGCACCAAAGUGGUCCGUGAGAAGAAGAUUAUCGAGGUACAUGUUGAAAAAGGCAUGAAAGAUGGGCGAAAGAUAGUGUUUCAUGGAGAAGGAGAUCAGGACCCUGAUCUGGAGCCUGGUGAUGUCAUAAUUGUGCUUGAUCAGAAGGAACAUAAUGUCUUUCAGAGACAAGGCCAUGACCUAAUCAUGAAAAUGAAAGUUCAACUUUCUGAAGCUCUUUGUGGCUUCAAGAAGACAAUAAAAACCCUGGAUGAUCGAAAUCUUGUCAUUACAUCCAAAUCAGGUGAGGUGAUAAAGCCCGGGGACCUGAAAUUUGUGCGAAACGAAGGAAUGCCCAUUUUCAAAACACCCCUGGAAAAAGGCAACCUGAUCAUACAUUUUGUAGUCAUCUUUCCUGAAAAACCCUGGCUUUCCGAAGAAAAGCUUCCUCAAUUGGAAGCUUUGCUCCCUCCUCGACAGAAAGUGACGAUUACAGAUGACAUGGAUCAGGUGGAGUUGAAGGAGUUUAACCCCAGUGAAGAUAACUGGCGCCAGCAUGGGGAGGCCUACGAGGAGGACGAUGACGUGCCCCAGGCUGGAGUGCAGUGCCAGAUGGCGUGACACGGCACAGUACAGCAAAGCCAACCAGACUAGCACAUGAUGAAUGUGAAGUUGGCACAAUAAAAAUGGCAUCGCUUUAAUGGCCUCGUGUCUGGGGUGUUCUGUGUAAUGUGUUCAGCGUUCAAUUGCUGAGUGUCUUUUUGGUUUUUCUUUUGGUUGUAACUUAAGUUAUAGAUUAAUUUAUAUUUAAAUGUUUUAAGUGUGAAUCACCUCUAGUCUGCA